rnacentral:rRNA from 1 species
UUAUAUGGUCAAGCGAAUAAGCGCAUAUGGUGGAUGCCUAGGCAGUUGGAGGCGAUGAAGGACGUUGUAGCCUGCGAAAAGCUCGGGGGAGCUGGCAAACAAGCGCUAUAUCCCGAGAUGUCCGAAUGGGGAAACCCGGCCCUUAGGGGUCAUCGUACACUGAAUUCAUAGGUGUGCGAGGCGAACCCGGUGAACUGAACCAUCUAAGUAACCGGAGGAAAAGAAAUCAAUUGAGAUUCCCUGAGUAGCGGCGAGCGAAAGGGGAGUAGCCCGCAGUCUUUAUCUUUUUAGCCAGGGGAAUGGUCUGGAAAGGCCGGCGAUACAAGGUGAUAGCCCUGUACCCGAAAGCUGAAAGGAAGAACUGAGUCUGCAAAAAGUAGGUCGGAGCACGUGAAACUUUGACUGAAGAUGGGGGGACCAUCCUCCAAGGCUAAAUACUCCCAACUGACCGAUAGUGAACUAGUACCGUGAGGGAAAGGCGAAAAGAACCCCGGUGAGGGGAGUGAAAUAGA